UCUCGUACCCUGGAUUCCGUCAACAAUGUUCGGUGGUAUGACGAUAUUGGCGGCGGUGGCCCUGCUCGGACUGAGGGAGACAAAGGGAAAGGACUUGCAGGACACCAUCGCUCAACUCCAACACAACAAAGGAAGCACACACAGUGAGGAACAUGAAGCUGUAACUAGAGUUGUCGUUGAUGAUGAGAGCGAGUGCUGAGAGUACUUAGCCAUCACGCCUCCGUCGAUAGACAUAUCUGUCAUUGUCACAAAUGCAUUUGAUGAAACAAGAUAUACGAAUGUAUUUUUUAUGUAUAUGUGUGACUGUUAAAUGUUGUAAAAUAAUAAAAAAACUUUCAUUCA